UUGCGUUUUGCUUGUUGACGCGUCGUAUACGCUAGAUUUUCUUUUUUGCUUAUGAAAAACACAAACAGAAGAUUAUUUUACAAGAUGAAGGAGUUUUGCCGGUUUUGUAAUAAUCCGGUUAUGACAGCCAAAUUCAAACGGAUGCAUUUUGCUUUGAGACAAUUCAAUCUUGUUUCUGCCAAAUACGGCUGAGGCUCAGAACAUUACUUGGACUUGUGUGAUAGAAGCAAACAUCCCAAGCCCCUUGAGCGCCGGUGCAGUUGCUUUCAUACUUUGGAAGCUUUUGAGGACUGAAAUGAACUGUUAGGUCUUGGGGUUGAUAAUGAAGAAACCAUGUGGAUAAAGUCAUCUUUUAUUUGACUAAUAAUAAUUCUUGUCGCAGAUAUGAUGUUUCUAAAGCCAUGUUUUGGUGUUUUUUGGAUUUCUGCUUGCAACUUCUCUAAUAGCAGUGACCUCCCUGGUCUUUCCACCACCACCGGUGCACUAAAUAAGCACUAAAUAAGAUUGCUUUCCUAAGAUUGCUUUCCUAAGAUUUUAGAUCAUGUCUGAGUUUGUCUAUGUCAACAAAUGGAAAGUUUUGGAGGAUGCCUACAGAAAAGACGAGUUGAAGUUUAAUAACCGAAUUAAUAUAUACUAUGUACCAACUUUUACCCAUAGAGGGGCUACAUCACUAAAAUUAAAUCAAAUACCUAAAAAAAUAUAAUACAAGAAGUUGUGUGGAAAAUAAAGUUAAUAUAUAAAUAAUGCUUCAAUAAUAAAGGCUAAUUACAAUGUCAAUAAAGGGGGUGUUUAGGUUUUCUGUUGCAUGUCUUGUUGCUUUUUGUUCUUUUUUGGUUGCGGCAUUCUCCUUUUAAAGCUCCUCAGUUGAACUACGUCAUGCUCCAGCAACUUCCUGGUGUUGUUUGUGUUUUGUUUGAGAUGGCAAAUCCCUCUAUUCCUAUGGUUCGGGCUCUUAAUUGAAAAACAAGUUUCAGAAACAAGUCACGGCAAAUAUGUAACAAUUAUGAAUCUAAUACGAUCAUUUAUAUUCUUCUGCUUUCAUAAGUAAUAGUUACUGAUUUUUAUGAAGCGUUUUUUAACUAAAAGGCAUGUCAAGAUCGCUUACCUUCUUUCUAAUGCUAAAAAAACGAAUGAUAUUUAUGCUAUGAUACUUUUCUAGGUCUAGGGGUGGUAACAAUGCUGCCGUCUUUGCUAGUGUUACUAGAGUGUCAGUGACUUUGCUUCCUUUUUCAGCUUAUUGUUAAUUUCUGCCGCUACUGACACUUUUUUCACAAAGAAAAAAGUUGUAUUACUUGCAACUAUUGAAAAAUAUUGAAAAUAUGACUUAAUUCAUAACUAUAAAAAUUAAACAGGCUCUUUCUUGAGUCUAAAAUGUGUUAGGUUUACCGUUUACCUAAUUGUUAAAUAUUUUGUUAUUUUUUUUCUAGUGUUAAUCAUCUAAAUACUAUGACAAAAAUGUCUCAAAUGAAAAAGAAAUAAUGAAGGGAAAUCCAGUUAUGAUCAAUGAUUUUGUAUUGAUAAUAUUAGGUACCUAUUUAAUACAAAAUCAUUGUUGGGAUAGAAAUCAAUUGUUCUUUUUAUAUUUUGUGGAGUUCUAUAAGUAGGUUUUUUUUCUAUGGUUGUAUUCUCCUUUUUAGGGUUCUUUUGGGUUGUUUUGUCCUUGCUAGUUAGAAUAGAAUAUGUUUAUUGUUCACAUGUUGGUGUACAGGUCUUACUCUAUAGGUACAAUAGUUAUAACAUGUAAUGUAAUGAAUGGUAUUGCAAUUUUAUUACUCGUGCAUACAAAAUAUACACAUAAGAAAUGUACCUACACAUCUAUUUCUACGCAUAUUAAAUAUGUAUAACAAAAAUAUUAUCUUAGAAUAAUACUUAUUUGCAUGAAAAACUCUUGGAGAGAGUAAAAACUGGCCUAGUUUUUAGCUUGGUAACGAAUUUUGUGUAUGUUUGCUCUUUAGUUAUUUUGGAAGGUAAUUAUAAAUUUGUUACUCAAUACUCAUUAGUGGUCUUCCCUCGUAUAAAAAUAAUUAUGUAGUCUCUUUAUUUGUGGGUACAUUCGCAAUGUGGGUGUAAGUAAAAACUGUGAAAAAAGCAUGAAUCUAGUAUUUUAAGAAGGAUCCUACCUUCUAAGGAAAAAAGUAUUUUAACUAUGCAUAGUUUCAUUCAUUCAAUAUAAGAAAAAAUACUUUGAAGUUACUAAAACUCUUACUUUGAUGACUUCAAUAUAUUUUUUCUCUUGUGUUCUUGAAAUAAAAUGUGGUUUUGUUUUUUUAUCCACUCCAGCUUAGGGCUUAGAGAGGUUUGUGUAGUCUUGUGUUAUCUAAAAAAUGUCAUACAUAGGUAAUAUUUUUACUCUUGUGUUCUUGAAAUAAAAUGAGGUUUUGUUUUUUUAUCCACUCCAGCUUAGGGCUUAGAGAGGUUUGUGUAGUCUUGUGUUAUCUAAAAAAUGUCAUACAUAGGUAAUAUUUUUACUCUUGUGUUCUUGAAAUAAAAUGAGGUUUUGUUUUUUUAUCCACUCCAGCUUAGGGCUUAGAGAGGUUUAUGUAGUCUUGUGUUAUCUAAAAAAAUGUCAUACCUAUGCUAUAGAAAAAGACAGUACGGUCAAGGAUUUUAGUUUCAGUAGGUUCAUUACCUACCUACUUAUAGAACUCCCCAAAAUAUAAAAAAGAACAUUUGAUUUCUAUCCCAACAAUGAUUUGAUAUUAAAUAGGUAUAAGUAUUAUUAAUAUAAAAUAUAUUUCAUUAUUUUUAUUAACUAUUAAGUAAGUUUGAUUUGUGUCGUCUUAAGAAUUAGUUUUGAACUCUUAAAACGACACAAAUCAAACUUACUUAAUAGUUAAUAAAAGUAUUGAAUUUUGGGCAUAUCAAAUAUAUAAUUGUUUCCUGGUUACAGUCUUGUGUUCUUGAAAUGAAAUGGGUUUAUUUAUCUUAAUGAUGUAAUAGCUAAAUCACUGCCUUACGGCGAUGUUACAAUGUCGGGUCGAAUAGUUACUUUUAUAAAUCUACUAGCUUUUGCCCGCGACUUCGUUUGCGUGGAAUUAGUACCAGCAGCUAUAGUAAGUGCAGCGCCUGGAUAAAAGCCAAUAGCAAUUCGAGCGUAAUAUAUGCGUAAUUAUUUACACUAAUUAACAGGCACUUCAUUAAAUUUCUCAUUUCCACCCCCCUUUUCAUCCUGUUUAGGGAUGACUUCUGACAAAAACUAUCCUAUGUCCUUCCUCGGGGCUUAAACUAUAUCUGUGCCGCAUUUAAACUAAAUCCGUUCAGCGGUUUAAGCGUGAAGAGAUAACAGAUAGACACACUUUCGCCUUUAUAAUAUUAGUAUGGAUGUUCACUCUUAAGUUCUUGUUAUCUUAAGGCGGGAUUCCACCAGUGUGCGGCACAAGCAUUUUUGUACUGAAUAUGGAAUCCCGCUUUGAGGUAGGUAUUAUCCAUGUGUCUUGUGAAAACAAAAUGUAUAAAAUAGUGUAUUUAUUUCCCCGCUUGGACCAAUUGGUAAUUGUUUAAUUUUACUAAUCCCGUAUCGAAUUUUUUUCAUCGUUAAUGUUUAGUGUCCGGAGUAGCGGUGGCAAAUUUCACACAGAAGGUAAAAGAGUCACCUAAGUUAUGAUUAAAAGAAUAACGAUUAAAUGAUUAAUUUUGCAUAAUAAUUGCUAUAAAUUAUCUUGCGAGCAUACAUAAGUAAUGUGCUUUUUUAUCAAAAUAUCAGUCACUACUAAAAUUCCUAGACUAAGAAGGAAGUAAGAUAUAUUCCUUUCUAGGCCAUUGAACUACAAUUGAGGACUGGAAUUAUGUGUUCGAGGUCCUCCUUACAGUCUUAAGUGCGUAUCCAUGUUAUAAAUGAGUGGACUAUGGCCACUUGUUCCUGGUUUUUCGGAGUGAAUCGGUUUCUUAAUUUAUUAAAGAUCCAUUUAUGAGUGGAAAAUGAUCGCUCUACAUCUACCGAUGUCAUGGUUGCAUGUUUUAGGACUUGUUUAUAAUUUUCCAUUGAAAUCAUAUUCCUUAAUUCGUCAACAUCAGAGCUAGUAUAUCAUGGCACCAUCAAAACAUUUCGGUCGAAUUCUUUGAACAUUACGAGAAGCACUUUGUUACCAUCACUUCUUAUGUCUUUGUUUUUGGUAAACUUUGUUUUUUAUCCCAUAAAAAUGGCAUGUCUUUAUAAAGUUCAAUCAUGUUUAGCAGUACUUCCUUUUCCUUGUCUGUGGCUGCGUCAUUUUGAACUGAAAUGCAAUAACUAAAACAAUAAAACAUCCAUACGUUCUAGGACGGAAAGCAAUA